rnacentral:rRNA from 1 species
UACAGAGGUCCCAAGCGUUGUUCGGAUUCAUCGGGCGUAAAGGGUGCGUAGGUGGCGCGCUAAGUCAGGUGUGAAAUUUCGGAGCUUAACUCCGAAACUGCAUUUGAUACUGGCGUGCUUGAGGACUGGAGAGGAGACUGGAAUUCAUGGUGUAGCAGUGAAAUGCGUAGAGAUCAUGAGGAAGACCAGUGGCGAAGGCGGGUCUCUGGACAGUUCCUGACACUGAGGCACGAAGGCCAGGGGAGCAAACGGG